rnacentral:rRNA from 1 species
ACUCCUACGGGAGGCAGCAGUGGGGAAUUUUGCACAAUGGGGGAAACCCUGAUGCAGCGACGCCGCGUGGAGGAUGAAGGCCUUCGGGUUGUAAACUCCUUUUGUAGGGGAAAAUAAUGAUGGUACCCUACGAAUAAGCCACGGCUAACUCUGUGCCAGCAGCCGCGGUAAU